AGAGUAGCUCAGCGGUAGAGCACGGGACUCAUAAGCCUAUGGUCGGUGGUUCAAAUCCACCCUUUGG
rnacentral:tRNA from 1 species